rnacentral:rRNA from 1 species
UACGUAGGGUGCAAGCGUUAAUCGGAAUUACUGGGCGUAAAGCGUGCGCAGGCGGUUUCUUAAGUCAGAUGUGAAAGCCCCGGGCUUAACCUGGGAACUGCGUUUGAAACUGGGAGACUUGAGUGUGGCAGAGGGGGGUGGAAUUCCACGUGUAGCAGUGAAAUGCGUAGAUAUCUGGAGGAACACCGGUGGCGAAGGCGGCAUCCUGGACCGGCAUUGACGCUGAGGAGCGAAAGCCAGGGGAGCAAACGGG